rnacentral:rRNA from 1 species
CAGUAGCCACGGUAAUACGUAGGUGGCAAGCGUUGUCCGGAAUUAUUGGGCGUAAAGCGCGCGCAGGUGGUUUAAUAAGUCUGAUGUGAAAGCCCACGGCACAACCGUGGAGGGUCAUUGGAAACUGUUAAACUUGAGUGCAGGAGAGAAAAGUGGAAUUCCUAGUGUAGCGGUGAAAUGCGUAGAGAUUAGGAGGAACACCAGUGGCGAAGGCGGCUCUCAGGCUUGUAACUGACGCUGAGGCUCGAAAGCGUGGGGAGCAAACAGGAUUAGAUACCCCCGUAGUCCCUGUCUCUUAUAC